AGAUUGAACGCUGGCGGCAGGCCUAACACAUGCAAGUCGAGCGGUAGAGAGGUGCUUGCAUCUCUUGAGAGCGGCGGACGGGUGAGUAAUGCCUAGGAAUCUGCCUAGUGGUGGGGGAUAACGUUCGGAAACGGACGCUAAUACCGCAUACGUCCUACGGGAGAAAGCGGGGGACCUUCGGGCCUCGCGCCAUUAGAUGAGCCUAGGUCGGAUUAGCUAGGUUGGUGAGGUAAUGGCUCACCAAGGCGACGAUCCGUAACUGGUCU
rnacentral:rRNA from 1 species